AAGUCGAGCGGAUGAACCUGAUUGAUUCCUUCGGGAUGACGUCAGGGGAUUCAGCGGCGGACGGGUGAGUAACACGUGGGCAACCUGCCCCUCAGACUGGGAUAACAUCGAGAAAUCGGUGCUAAUACCGGAUAAUUUUCGGGAUCGCAUGAUCCCGUUAUAAAAGAUGGCUUCGGCUAUCACUGGGGGAUGGGCCCGCGGCGCAUUAGCUAGUUGGUGAGGUAGAGGCUCACCAAGGCGACGAUGCGUAGCCGACCUGAGAGGGUGAUCGGCCACACUGGGACUGAGACACGGCCCAGACUCCUACGGGAGGCAGCAGUAGGGAAUCUUACGCAAUGGACGAAAGUCUGACGGAGCAACGCCGCGUGAGUGAUGAAGGGUUUCGGCUCGUAAAGCUCUGUUGUCAGGGAAGAACAAGUAUCGUUCGAAUAGGGCGGUACCUUGACGGUACCUGACCAGAAAGCCACGGCUAACUACGUGCCAGCAGCCGCGGUAAUACGUAGGUGGCAAGCGUUGUCCGGAAUUAUUGGGCGUAAAGCGCGCGCAGGCGGUUUCUUAAGUCUGAUGUGAAAGCCCCCGGCUCAACCGGGGAGGGUCAUUGGAAACUGGGAGACUUGAGUGCAGAAGAGGAGAGUGGAAUUCCACGUGUAGCGGUGAAAUGCGUAGAUAUGUGGAGGAACACCAGUGGCGAAGGCGACUCUCUGGUCUGUAACUGACGCUGAGGCGCGAAAGCGUGGGGAGCAAACAGGAUUAGAUACCCUGGUAGUCCACGCCGUAAACGAUGAGUGCUAGGUGUUAGGGGUUUCGAUGCCCUUAGUGCCGAAGUUAACACAUUAAGCACUCCGCCUGGGGAGUACGACCGCAAGGUUGAAACUCAAAGGAAUUGACGGGGGGCCCGCACAAGCAGUGGAGCAUGUGGUUUAAUUCGAAGCAACGCGAAGAACCUUACCAGGUCUUGACAUCCUUUUGACCACUCCUGGAG
rnacentral:rRNA from 2 species